rnacentral:rRNA from 1 species
CGGGGUCUUCGGACCUCGCGCCAUUAGAUGAACCUAGGUCGGAUUAGCUAGUUGGUGAGGUAAUGGCUCACCAAGGCGACGAUCCGUAACUGGUCUGAGAGGAUGAUCAGUCACACUGGAACUGAGACACGGUCCAGACUCCUACGGGAGGCAGCAGUGGGGAAUAUUGGACAAUGGGCGAAAGCCUGAUCCAGCCAUGCCGCGUGUGUGAAGAAGGUCUUCGGAUUGUAAAGCACUUUAAGUUGGGAGGAAGGGUAGUAACCUAAUACGUUGCUACUUUGACGUUACCGACAGAAUAAGCACCGGCUAACUUCGUG